rnacentral:rRNA from 1 species
AACACGUAAACAACCUGCCUUCAAGAUGGGGACAACAGACGGAAACGACUGCUAAUACCGAAUACGAUCCGAAAGUCGCAUGACAUUUGGAUGAAAAGGGUGGCCUAUCGAAGAAGCUAUCGCUUGAAGAGGGGUUUGCGUCCGAUUAGGUAGUUGGUGAGGUAACGGCCCACCAAGCCGACGAUCGGUAGCCGGUCUGAGAGGAUGAACGGCCACACUGGAACUGAGACACGGUCCAGACUCCUACGGGAGGCAGCAGUC